CUUCCCAUUAGGAAGGGGAAGAUUCUCCGGCAGUCGCCUUCUUCAUAAAGGAGACAGAAUGCCUCAAGUCUGAAGAUACUGAUUUGGGCCAAUGUGGCUACAAGAAGGACGGGGAGGUGAAGGUCUGUGGAUUGUACCCGGUGGAGGGGGAGACCUCAAAGACUCUGAAAUGUGUCAGCCUGACCAAGAAUUCACGUGUUAAACGGGCGAAUAGAAGACCGCCC